UACGUAGGGCGCAAGCGUUGUCCGGAAUCACUGGGCGUAAAGGGCGCGUAGGUGGCGACCCAAGUCGAUGGUGAAAGCUCGCCGCUCAACGGCGAGUCGGCCACUGAUACUGGGUUGCUGGAGCACUGUAGAGGCAGAUGGAAUUCCGGGUGUAGCGGUGGAAUGCGUAGAGAUCCGGAAGAACACCGGAGGCGAAGGCGGCUUGCUGGGCUCGGUCUGACGCUGAGGCGCGAAAGCGUGGGGAGCGAACAGG
rnacentral:rRNA from 1 species